rnacentral:rRNA from 1 species
CCCAGUGAUAAUUAUUUAACGGCCGCGGUAUUUUGACCGUGCAAAGGUAGCAUAAUCAUUUGUCUUUUAAUAGGAGUCUUGAAUGAAUGGAUAUAUGAAAUUAUAACUGUCUCUUAUUUAUAUUUAUAAAUUAUUUUACAAGUGCAGAGACUUGUAUAUUAAUAAAAGACAAAAAGACCCUAUUGAUCUUUAUUUUUAUAUAAUUUUUUAGACAUAAUAAACUUUAUUAUUUAAUAAAAUUUGGUUGGGGCGAUUAAGAAAUAUAUAAAUCUUUUUAUUUAUUUAUGAAUAACAUUUCUUUUUAUUGAUCUAUUGUUUAAUAAAUGGAAAUAGUUACCAUAGGGAUAACAGGCUAAUUUUUUUUUAGAGUUCAUAUUAAUAAAAAAGUUUGGCACCUCGAUGUUGGCUUAAGAUAUCCUAUAGGUGUAGCAGCUUAUAAGGGUUAGUUUGUUCAACUAUUAAAAUCUU